rnacentral:rRNA from 1 species
UGUGCCAAGCAGCCGCGGUAAUUCCAGCUCCAAUAGCGUAUAUUAAAGUUGUUGCGGUAAAAAAGCUCGUAGUUGGAUUUCUGUUGAGGACGACCGGUCCGUACCAUGUGCGCGCAUCUGGUUCGGCCUCGGCAUCCUCUCGAUAGACGUUUCUGCGCUUGAUUGCGUGGAGCGGAUUUCGGGACUUUUACUUUGAGGAAAUUAGAGUGUUCACGGCAGGCUAUCGCCAGAAUACAUUAGCAUGGAAUAAUAUUAUAGGAUCUCGGUUCUAUUUUGUUGGUUUCUAGACCCGGGGUAAUGAUUAAUAGGGACAAUUGGGGGCAUUUGUAUCAACACGUCAGAGGUGGAAUUCUUGGAUUGUGUUGCGACAAACUACUGCGAAAGCAUUUGCCAAGGAUGUUUUCAUUGAUCAAGAACGAAAGUAAGGGGAUCGAAGACGAUUAGAUACCGUCGUAGUCUUUACCAUAAACUAUGCCGACUAGAGAUGGGGCAUCGUUCACUUACGACUUGCUCCGCAUCUUAUGAGAUAUCAAAGUCUUUGGGUUCCGGGGGGAGUAUGGUCGCAAGUCUGAAACUUAAAGGAAUUGACGGAAGGGCACCACCAGGAGUGGAGCCUGCGGCUUAAUUUGACUCAACACGGGGAAACUCACCAGGUCCAGACAUAAUAAGGAUUGACAGAUUGAUAGCUCUUUCUUGAUUUUAUGGGUGGUGGUGCAUGGCCGUUCUUAGUUCGUGGAGUGAUUUGUCUGCUUAAUUGCGUUAACGAACGAGACCUUAACCUGCUAAAUAGGAGCGCAUAUCUUCGGAUAAGCGCCUUUCUUCUUAGAGGGACUGCAUGCGUUUCAGUAUGCGGAAGUUUGAGGCUAAAACA